UUAAAUCUGAGGAUUAUAACCCGGGGCCUUCCUUCCUGAAGGAAGAAAGGGCACCAAAGAAGUGGGGUGCACAGACUGGUUAUAUACCCCAGAGAGGAUGUUUCACAUAGGAUUGAAAUGUCCCUUUUACAAUAGUCGGGAGACUGCUCUGUCGGCACAGCGAUUGAUGGAAACAGCAGGAAGCCCAGGGUGUUUGCUGGGAGCGGGAACGGAAGAAGGAAUUUUUCCAGCACUCAACACAAGGUGGCGCCAGACACCCGUGGACGUCAUGAGGUCCCCCUCCUGGUGGGCUCCAGAAGCUGCGAAAAUUCCCUGAAAUUCGAGUCAGGCCGGAUUCAAGGAGAUGGGAAGGAGUAACACAGUGGCCAGACAGACGGAAUCUAAGAAACCUCCGAAGAGAAAAAGAAAGGAACGGGCGGCGGAAUCCCCGCGGGACCGGAGACAGGCUGCAUACUCCUAAGGACUUGUUGCCAGAUUGCUCUGUCCUAGAGCCGCUCGUGAUCCCCAGCCUGUGUGGCUGUGCCUCGGCUUCUUGGCAGCCUGUGAUUCUGGUGCUUGCAUUCACGUGUCUGCAGAGGAGGCUGCAACCUGCCCCACCCCCAUUUUCUGCUCUGCCUUUUCAUUGUCCACAGGACUUAGAAACUCCCAGUAUACUAGUCAAUUCACAUAAUAAAAUAGUUACUAUUAUUAUUUUAUUUUGUAUUACUUUAUUAUUACUGUUUCCCCUUUCCCCCCUUCGGAAUGUAAGCCUCAUGGAGCAAGCAUUUUUGUUCAUUGGACCCUGGCAGUUGUCCCCUGAAUGCAGGACUAAGAAAGCUGGGCUCGAUUCUGGGGUUGGGGGUACCCUCCUGGGUUGAACAAUAGCAAGGACUUCAACAGAUGCUCAGUCUUCCUGUUGUCCUGUUGUUGCCUCUUUUCACUCAUUAGAGAGUCCCGGUGUAAAGGGCCAGGUGAUGGGGGUAAAUCCGAGGGGAGGGGAGGAGGCUUGGGGAGUCAGGAUAUAAGUGCCCCAGGAGAGAGGGAAUAACCCGCUAUGGCGGAGGCAGCCCCUCUACUGUCAGGGGCUAGCACAAUGUCUCCUGCAUGAUUGGGCCUCAAUAAAUGCGUGUGGGGGACAUGGGAAGACAACAGAAUAAUCGAGAGAAAUUUCUGUGUAUUUAUAUAUGCCAGCAAGAAUGGAUGGGCACUGGGACUAAUUGUGAGAGGGACUCAAGCAGAAGAAAGUCAGGGGUCAUUUCUGGGUUCUGGGCCUGGACAGACGACAGAGGGACGGUGGCCCCCGGUGAAGGCUCAGGGAAGAGGGAAGAGAGAGGAUGAGGACCAGUG
rnacentral:lncRNA from 1 species